GGGCUCGUUCGGGCAGCAUAUAUAUUAAAACUGGAACAUUACAGAGAAGGUUAGCACGCCCCUGUGAAAGGAUGGCACACAUGUUGGGGAAAUGUUCCAUUAAAAA